CUUAGAAUGCGCGCUGUUGGUGCUCGCGGUGUGGUUCGCAUGCCGCAGUUCAACGGGAAGCAGGAGGGGAAGUCCCACGGGACAGACCUAACCUGCGCUGCCCCCGCAACGGUAAGCAGACGAGAAGCCAGGCACACCCUGCCGCGGCCACUCCGCUUUCAUCACGCAGCCACUGGACGACAUCGCCUGUCGUCUGGGAAGGCGAUGAAGGUUGUUCUGCCAGCCCGGAUACCGGCCAACGAGGUGGUGGUGCG
rnacentral:ncRNA from 2 species